GGAAGAGGAGGGAGAGGGUUUGGGCAGGAGGCAACAAGUCAACGUCAGUAGCUGUAAGAAAAGGCUAGAAAUUAGCCAUUAAAACUCUCUCAACAUAUGUAUGACUCAAGUGGAGAGUCAUGCAUGGCUCUUCACCUUCACAAAUAUCAAAACCCUAUAAAUAUAUUACUGCUUUUCUGUUUCAAACUGGGCUUUUACUUUUAUAUAUGUAUGUUGGUUUGAGAGGUUGAAGCUGCCAGCAUGAUCUGGUAAGAAACAAAUCUAUAUUCUUCUUUUCUUGAAUUCUCACAACCAUUUAACAGAAAUCCAACCAAUCCUCCACCCUUGAUCCAUGAUAUUGAUGUUGAUUUUUUGAGUUCUUGAUUUUCUGGGAUUUGAUUUUGACUCGACCAAAUUAAAGUUGACCGAUUCACCUUUGUCGAAAAUGAAGUUAGCUUCUAAGAUUUGGCUUCAAUCAGGUCAUCUAGCAGCUUCAAUCACUCACCAACAAUACUGUAAAUCAAUUUCUUUGCACUCAACUUCUGAUCAUGGAUUAGUCCCUUGAGUUUCUUGACCUCAUCAGCACAGAAGGUAGAGAAAAUCCUUCCAUCUCCAAUCAUGUAGGGGACUUCGAAACCAAGGUACCGACCCGAACAUGGUAUGCAUAUAAAUAAAGAAGCUAGAAGUAUACACAAAGAAAGGGCUUUUCAGCUUUGCCAAAUUUGCUCAGCAAUCAGCAUCAACAGAUAAGAUAGUUCAAUGAUGUGUUUGGCAAGAGAGACAAUGGAUGAUUUUCAACAGGGAAGAACGAACAGUAACAGACAUCCAACGGCUAUCGGUUAUCAAGAUUUUAAGCUUCAAUACCAUCCCCAUUCCGCCAGUACAAAAUAACAUUAUUACACCGGAGUGCAGCUGAAGAAAGAUCUCUGAGUUACACCACGUCAAAGAUCUCUUAGUUACACCACGUCCUCAUCGACUGGAAGGUAUUCCAGAUCUUCGACAUUGACUGGUUGGUGCAGCUGCAUACAUAACUAGAAUCAUUGAAAAUGGAUGCCAAGAGGAUCUAAUUACAACUUGAAAAGACCUCCUAAAGAAAAAGGCGGCCUGUCAGUCAGAGUAAUGAAUCUGGACCACUGAUGAUAAUAACACACGCUAGGUAGAUGCAAAGUUAGGAACUUAUUGAUUGGCCGGGAAUGCCUGGAUGUAUUUGUAUAUGUAUUUUGGAUGAUUUGCUCGGGUAUGCCCGGUGUACUUGUACAUGAUUAUGAUCAAUAUAUUACACAUUUAUCGAUAAAAAAAAAGUUAGGAAUUUAUCAUAUGCAUUUUGUGCUCUUUGAAUGGUCCAAAUUUGUGCACUCAUGCAGUUGUCUUAGCAUUCCUCUCUGGGUCGCUAAACAAAUGUCCAAGCUAAAUCACAACUUCGAAAGGUUUGUUCAGGGAAUAAUAGAACAGAAGAUGAAAAUUACUCUGAGCAAAUUCAAGAACGCGAUUUAAAUUUUUCUCACAAAUUAAACCACAUCGAUUCAUUUCCUAUCUUAAAUAAGAUAUCACUGAAAACAAAACAGAGAAGACAAUAACAAUAUCAUUCCAAACAAGUCGAACAAAACACAGAAAGAUGGCCUAUGCUAGGAUUCAUUGUUUAUUCAAUCAAUCAAGAACUCAAAAGAGUAGACUGGGGUACCAAAAGAAUAGUCUUGCUAGACAAAUUGUGGUGUUAGCUUAGUGACAUAUAGGUUCGGCCCAACUACUAAAACCUACUGAUGGCCAAAUUUCACCAGCCCUAAUCAACUAUUAUAACAUUAGCUGUGCUCCUAGGAAAAGUAUUUACACCAGAAAAUAAGUCCAUGUUUCAAGGAACUUGUCUUAGUUCAAAUUAUUAUUUCAGAGAACCAAUAAAGUGCACACAAAUUUCUCAGAAGUAUAAAACAUGGACAUUCACAAUGACGCCUUAUAAACAAGUUAUAUUCUAUAAAAUUGAAGUAUGCCAAGAUGAGAUCCAUCAAGUGUCUCAAGACCACAUAAGUCAAAUAAGA